rnacentral:rRNA from 1 species
GACGAACGCUGGCGGCGUGCCUAAUACAUGCAAGUAGAACGCUGAAGGCGGAGCUUGCUUCUCUGGAUGAGUUGCGAACGGGUGAGUAACGCGUAGGUAACCUGCCUGGUAGCGGGGGAUAACUAUUGGAAACGAUAGCUAAUACCGCAUAAUAGUAGAUGUUGCAUGACAUUUGCUUAAAAGGUGCAAUUGCAUCACUACCAGAUGGACCUGCGUUGUAUUAGCUAGUUGGUGGGGUAACGGCUCACCAAGGCGACGAUACAUAGCCGACCUGAGAGGGUGAUCGGCCACACUGGGACGGGGACACGGCCCAGACUCCUACGGGAGGCAGCAGGAGGGAAUCUUCAGCAAUGGAAGGAAGGCGGAACGAGCAACGCCGCGUGAGGGCAGAAGGUUGUCGGAUCGUAAAGCUCUGUUGUAAGAGAAGAACGAGUGUGAGAGUUGAAAGUGCACAUUGUGACGGUACCUUAACAGAAAGGGACGGCUAACUACGUG